GUUGACCUCGGAUCAGGUAGGGAUACCCGCUGAACUUAAGCAUAUCAAUAAGCGGAGGAAAAGAAACCAACAGGGAUUG
rnacentral:rRNA from 28 species